rnacentral:tRNA from 1 species
CAAGGGGUAGUUUAUUUUAAAAUGUUAACUUUGGAGGUUAUUGAUGAGGUGUUACUUUCCCUUGA